CUAAAGGCUCUUUUAAGAGCCACCCACGUAUUCACUAAAAGAGUCG
rfam:Patagioenas fasciata monilis isolate BTP2013 Sc31e1R_53, whole genome shotgun sequence.